AGGACGAACGCUGGCGGCGCGCUUAACACAUGCAAGUCGAGCGAGAACCGGUCCUUCGGGACCGGGGACAGCGGCGAACGGGUGAGUAACACGUGGGUAAUCUGCCCUCGAUUCUGGGAUAGCCCGGGGAAACCCGGAUUAAUACCGGGAUAGCCUCUCGAGCUUUCGGGCUCGUGAGAAAAGGUAGCUUCGGCCUCCGAUCGAGGAUGAGCCCGCGGCGGAUUAGCUUGUUGGUGAGGUAACGGCUCACCAAGGCGACGAAUCCGUAGCUGGUCUGAGAGGACGAUCAGCCACACUGGGACUGAGACACGGCCCAGACUCCUACGGGAGGCAGCAGUGGGGAAUCUUGCGCAAUGGGCGAAAGCCUGACGCAGCGACGCCGCGUGGGGAAGAAGGCCUUAGGGUUGUAAACCGUCUUUCAGUAGGACGUAAGCCACUCGGUUAAUAGACCCAGAGGUGACGGUACCUACAGAAGAAGCCCCGGACUAACACGUGACAGCCAGCCGCGGUAAUCGUGA
rnacentral:rRNA from 1 species